rnacentral:rRNA from 1 species
UACAGAGGUCCCAAGCGUUGUUCGGAUUUACUGGGCGUAAAGGGCGCGUAGGCGGCGUGGUAAGUCAGCUGUGAAAUCUCCGAGCUUAACUCGGAACGGUCAGCUGAUACUGCUGUGCUAGAGUACAGAAGGGGCAAUCGGAAUUCUUGGUGUAGCGGUGAAAUGCGUAGAUAUCAAGAGGAACACCUGAGGUGAAGACGGGUUGCUGGGCUGAUACUGACGCUGAGGCGCGAAAGCUAGGGUAGCAAACGGG